UACGUAGGGGGCAAGCGUUAUCCGGAUUUACUGGUGUAAGGGGGGCGCAGACGGUCACGCAAGUCUGAAGUGAAACCCCGCGGCUCAACCGCGGGCUUGCUUUGGAAGCUGUGUAACUGGAGUGUCGGAGGGGUAAGCGGAAUUCCCGGUGUAGCGGUGAAAUGCGUAGAUAUCGGGAAGAACACCGGCGGCGAAGGCGGCUUACUGGACGACAACUGACGUUGAGGCCCGAAGGCGUGGGGAGCAAACA
rnacentral:rRNA from 1 species